GAUGAACGCUGGCGGCGUGCUUAACACAUGCAAGUCGAACGAUGAAGCCCAGCUUGCUGGGUGGAUUAGUGGCGAACGGGUGAGUAACACGUGAGUAACCUGCCCUUAACUCUGGGAUAAGCCUGGGAAACUGGGUCUAAUACCGGAUAGGAGCGUCCACCGCAUGGUGGGUGUUGGAAAGAUUUAUCGGUUUUGGAUGGACUCGCGGCCUAUCAGCUUGUUGGUGAGAUAAUGGCUCACCAAGGCGACGACGGGUAGCCGGCCUGAGAGGGUGACCGGCCACACUGGGACUGAGACACGGCCCAGACUCCUACGGGAGGCAGCAGUGGGGAAUAUUGCACAAUGGGCGCAAGCCUGAUGCAGCGACGCCGCGUGAGGGAUGACGGCCUUCGGGUUGUAAACCUCUUUCAGUAGGGAAGAAGCGAAAGUGACGGUACCUGCAGAAGAAGCACCGGCUAACUACGUG
rnacentral:rRNA from 1 species